GUUCCUGGCUCCCUUUCGCCCGCAGGUCGCCCAAGUCCAGCCCCACGACGCAGUGCCGACUCCCCGCCGUGCCCCCAGCCCGGCCCGGGUUGCGGAGCCCUGCUCCUGGGCCUCUGCCUGCUGCGUCCACCCUGGGGGAAGCGCCCGUCGUACCCUCCACACCGGGGGCUUCCCCUGACCCCUUAGGCCCUCCCCCUGCAGGUGCCCUCGCGCCCCUCCCGGGGUCCCCAGUGGAUUCGGGGCCCCGGCCUCCCUGGAAUGAGAGAUGCACAGACUGGGCCGUGAUCUCCCACCGUGUCCUCACAGCCCCAAGACAGAAUGCCAUGCGGAUUGGCAGGAGACCUCACUGUGGGGUUCUUGGAGCCAACCCUCCAGGCCAUGUAGGGUCCAGCCCUACGGGACUUAGUGGGUGUUCUCCCCGUGUGCGGAGACGAGAGAUUGUAAUAAAUAAAGACACAAGACAAAGAGAUAAAGGGAAAACAGCUGGGCCCAGGGGACCACUACCAUCAAGACGCGGAGACCGGUAGUGGCCCCAAACAGCUGCGCCCGCUGAUAUUUAUUGCAUGCAAGACAAGGGGGCAGGGUAAGGAGGGUGAAUCUUCUAAGUGAUUGACAAGGUGAAGCAAGUCACGUGAUCACAGAACAGGGGGCCCUUCCCUCUUAGGUAGCCGAAGCAGGGAGAGAGAAGGCAGCAUACGUCAGCGUUUUCUUCUAUGCACUUAUAAGAAAGAUCAAAGACUUUAAGACUUUCACUAUUCCUUCUACCACUGUCUACUACAAACUUCAAAGAGGAACCAGGAGUACAGGAGGAACAUGAAAGUGGACAAGGAGCGUGACCAUUGAAGCACAGCACCACAGGGAGGGGUUUAGGCCUCCGGAUGACUGCGGGCAGGCCUGGAUACUAUCCAGCCUCCCACAAGAAGCUGGUGGAGCAGAGUGUUCCCUGACUCCUCCAAGGAAAGGGAGACUCCCUUUCGCGGUCUGCUAAGUAACGGGUGCCUUCCCAGACACUGGCGUUACCACUUGACCAAGGAGCCCUCAAGCGGACCUUAUGCGGGCAUGACAGGGCUCACCUCUUGCCUUCUACAUCACUUCUCACAAUGUCCCUUCAGCACCUGACCCUAUACCCGCAGGUUAUUCCUAGGUUAUAUUAGUAAUUAAAAGCUAAUGAUUAAUAAUGUUUAUAGUAAUGAUUGGUAAUUGUCUAUGAUCAUCUCUAUAUCUAAUUUGUAUUAUGACUAUUCUUAUUCUAAUUAUUUUCUUUAUUAUAUUGAAACAGUUUGUGCCUUCAGUCUCUUGCCCCAGCACCUGAGUAAUCCUCCACCCACAGGGCCACAGGCCCCAUGAGAUCUCUGAGGCCACAGAGUGUGUCCACACACGUGACCUCCAGGGUGAUUCGGGCCAGAGCACAGGAAUGGCCCAGGCAGAGGUGGCCUGGGCGUGGGCAGAGAUGGCUCGGGCUGGGCCUGAGGCAUCCAGGGGCUCAGCAUCGCAUCUCCUCAGGGGGGCCAUCUGAGACUGCUGGGCCAGUGAAGAGGCUUCUCCCGGGUACCCACCUGUCCUGUCCAAGAGAGAACAGCCAGCCCCACAGCCCCAAAUGUCUCUGUCCUCCAAGAGGCCAGAUGUGAAUCACAGGAAUUUACAGCCCAGCCUGGCAUGGGAUUUAUGAGUCUGCCUCCAGCCAGGGCUGGUGGGGAGUGGCCACUGUCAGCCCCCCAUUGCCGCUGAUGGAUGAGGCUGUUUCCUGUAAGACAAACUCCCUCUGUGGCAGGCAGUGGAGGGAGACACAUCCAGGCCCUAGGGCCAACCCCAUACCUGUCCCAGAGCCGGAUCCCUCGUGCCCUCACAGUCCAUGCCUCCCCUUGAUCCCCAGCCCUACACAGUGACACGCAAGCAGGAGGUGCACCCAAGGGGCCCAGCUCUUAGCCAGAGCUCUGCCUCCCACACUGCCAUCUGCACCCCCUCCCCAUGACCUUUAAAACCUUUCCAUCCCAGGGCCCAAGCCUUGGGACCAGCCCAAGAUGGGAUAUACCACACUCAAAGCCAGAAUGGAUCUCUGAGGUAGCCCAGAACACACACACGCACGCACGCACGCAUAUAUACACACACAUGCAUGCAUGCACAUACACAGUACACAGAUGAGAAACCAGGGUCCAGAGAGGAAUGGGCCUUGCCCAAAGUCACCCAGCAGCACAGUGGUGAAGCUGAGACCCCAGCCCACAAGCCCCCUGGACUGGUCAUUUCAGUGUCCGGUCACAGUGGACUGUCAUAUGGCCACAGGGGUAGUUUUCACCUCCAAAUGCAGGUGCCUCUCCAGAGAACAGACAGACCUGGGUUUGAGUCCAUGCCCCACCACUCUGUGUGUAAAGGUCAUAAACUCUCUGUGCCCGUUCCCUCACCUGAAAAAUGGGGAUCAAAAUAACCCCAACUUACCAAGGUUCUUACGAGGUUCAAGUGAGAGGAUGCAGGUAGAGCCGCAGGACAGAGUGGGCCCCUGGCACAUGCUCCCUGAGUGGUAACAAUGGUUCUCCACCAUCUCUCGUGUCUCAAGGGGCCCCGCUGCCUGAUUUGCUGCGGGCAGGAGGACAGUCAUGGUUGGGUGGGGCAGGAGGAGCAAGGAGAGUUUGAGUGUGGGACUGCAGGGCAGGAGUGAGGCCACUUCCUACUGGAGGAGACCCUGGAAGUCUCCCUGGAGGUGGUGGCAUCAAGCAGAGGAUGUAGAACUCUGUUUCUCUUGCUCUGAAGCUGACUGGGGGCUUCUUGAUUGCCACAGGGAUGGAGGGAAGCACCCUACCCUGAAAGCCUAGCCCAAGCUUCUGCCCUGGAUGACCUGAGGAGGAGUCCCUCCUUUCUCUGGGCAUCAGCAAAAUGGGGCCGGGAGGACUAGACAACACUCCCUAGAGGCACCUUUCUGCUCUGGCCUUGUUGCAAGCUGAAGAAGGUCCUCCAGACCCACCCUCUGCAGUACCCAAUUAUUGCCACUGGGCAGCAGCAGGGAGUAAAUCUGCGGUCCGGCCUCCUUUCCCUGCCGGCCAGUCCCUCUCCCAGCAUCCGGUGGUCUUUGCUCCUCCGUCCCCCCGCCAACUCGCCAGAGAGCCAGAGCUGAGCGUCCUUCACAUCCAGACAUCUGAUGCUCCCCUCAGCCCUGCAGAGAGCCAGCAUGCUGGCUGCUUUUCAGAUGGGGAAACUGAUGGCCAAGAGGUGAGGACUUGCUCAAGGUCACGCAAGAGCCAAGUGUGCCCACAGCGGAGGUGGUGUGAAAGGAGACUGCGGUCACACGGACCUGGCUGGGAUCCUGGUCUCCUCACCUCCAGCUGUGUGUCAUCGGGCAGGUCACCCACCCUCUCUGAGCCUCAAUUGAUAUAAGUGCUGAACACAUGAAGCCACCGCUUUGUUUCCAAUAGAGUUUAUGCCCCAAGAGUGCAAAGACAUGUCUGUCACUCACCUCAGCACCCCCAGAGCCUGGCGCAGGGUGGGAUUCGGAGAAUAGCGCCUGCCUCCCAGGGCCUGCCUGGCACUCAGCAGACACUGUGUCUCCUCAAACCGCAACCCCCCAACCUGGCCCCAGCCCUGGAUCAGCCUCACCUCGCCUCAUUCCCCUCCCAUCAGUCUUUCCUGCAGGACACCCACCCACCCGGCCUUGAGGGGGGGCUCCUGCUCACCUCCCCACCCCAUCCCUCUCGGCCCCCUUUCUCUGUCCUGGCCUCUCCCUCAUGUCGCUCUCUCCUGCCGAGCCCCCACUUGGCUCUACGCUGUUUACAAGAGAAUGAUGACAGUUUUUAUUUCUCUGUUUUAUCUCCCUUCCUCCCCUGAAGGGAAACGUGCUUCCAAUCUUCCAGGAAAAAUUGAAGGCUCCGGAUGAGAAAAAGCAAACAAAGGACAGUGGGACCAUGGGCGUCCCCACCCCCACCACCCGCAGGCCCCACACUCAAACCAGCGCCCGUGCCCACGCCCAUGCAGCCGUCCUCCGCCAGGCCCCAAGAACGGCUGUUACUUUGGGGGUAAUUGAAAAUGUCGAUCAUUAUUCUAGAGCAUAAGUAGGUCACAGGGACACAGGGAGCGAGAGAGAGAGAGAGAGAGAGAGAGGAAACCUGGUCAUGGGAGAGGAUCUGGGGGAGAGAAAGGCCAGCUGGGAGGAUGUGGGCGUGGAGAGGAAGAGGGAGCAGAAGGAACGGGAGGGCGGGCAACUCUCCACCAGUGAGCAGGGCCACGGACUCAGGGGGAUGUGUCCUCCCACCAGCCCCCCACCACACCCCGAAAGGAGCCGGGUGGCAGGAGCUCCUGUUUAGUCCUCCCGUACCUGAGCAGCCCCGAGAGUGGGUGUCUGUGAGUGCUGGGAGCAGGAGUGGGGACCUGGCUUGUCUUCAUGGGGGUGCCCUCUCACGACCACGUGCACAGCGCCCAGAGGCCAGGUCCCAGGCUGGCGGGCUGAGAGCAGCCAGCGGUCCCCUCUCCUGGGGGAAUGCAGGGACUCUCCUGACCUCCCUCCCAUCACCCAUCCCACCUCUCUCUGCAUGUCGGGACAUCUCAUGGUUUGUGGAUUUACUACUCCAGGGCAGUGAGGGGCGCCAGUGUGUGUGUGUAGAGUAAGGUGUGGGUCUGUGCAUUUGUGUGUGUGUCUUGCCCCACGUGUGUGCGGUAAGGGACGUGUGUGUGCACAGCCCCUACCUGUGUGCCUCCAGAUGGUGUGUCCAUGUGUCCCUGCAGGCAGGGCCCCUCUUCUGCUCCUGGCCCAGGGCCACCAUCCCCCCAGGUCCUGGGAACCUGAGUGGUGAUUGGCCUUGGGGUUCCCUCCAGCAACAGUGGAACAACAGACCAGCCCCCACCCCAGCCAGUGUCCAAGAGGCUCGUGGGACUGUGAUGUCACCACCAAGCCCUGGCUGAGGUAACCCAACAUGGAGCCAGGCCUGUCUUGCCCCCUAGAGAGAAGAGAGGAACCUCAGGUGGGUCUCCUGCCAGGCACCGAGCCUCAUCCACCCUCCAACAUCUGCUCGUGGUGGGAGAGGGUGAAUUCCCACCCUCUCACGGACACAGCCUCAGACCUCCUGGAGGCCAGGGCUCCAGGUGAAGACCAAGUCUUCGUACCCCCGGACCCAGCCAGAGCCUGGCACAGGGCAGGAGCUUAGCAAAUGUUUGUUGAAUGAAUGAAUGCACGGAUGGGGGCUUUGUGUGUGAUCAAGUGCCAGGCUCCGGAGUCUAGUGACCUGAAGAUACAGAUUCAAGUCCUACAAGGAUCAAACCAGGGCUUCCUGCAAGGUCAAGCGAGAACCCCCUGAGUUGUUCAGAAGGGGCCACGCAGCAGUCGGCCAGACCUGGGAGGCCGUGCCUGACCUUCUGCAAGUCACCUCUCUGGGGGCACUACCACAGGAAAGGCAAUGUCAAGUGAUGGGACUGCUUCAUCCAAAGGUCAAUCCCAAGCUAAAUGACCCUGUCAUUUUGCAGGCCGAGGCACAAGGGAGGCCCCAUUCAUCUUCCCUGGAGUCGGCAUCCCUUUGAUUGCGGGGCCACCUCUCAUCUGAACAUCUUCACCCCCCCCCAAUAUUCCUUCUGAACCCUCCAUCCUCCUUCUCCCCUUCUCUUGGGACCAUAAACCUACCCCAAGAGUGAGUCCUAGCUCCAGGGCCAGCUCCCAAUCCUGCCUCUGUCUGGUGGCAGCUGGGGCCAGGCUGAAGGUCUGUCCUAGACUGAGCCAUAAAGGCAAAAAUAAUACUUACUCCUAAUAGAAGUAAAGCACUUCACCCUAGAUGAGCCCUGGUCCUGGUCACACACAGAACCUAGACCUUUAUUUAGAGAUGGACCAUUAAUUUGUCAUGUGGGCUAGGCAUGGUGGCUCAAACCUGUAAUCCCACUUUGGGAGGCCCAAGCAGGAGGAUCACUUGAGGCCAUGAGUUCGAGACCAGCCUAGGCAACAUAACAAGACCACGUCUCUACAAAAAGAUUUAAAAAUUAACCAGGUUUGGUGGCAUGUGCCUGUAGUCCCAGCUACUGCAGUGAACCAAGAUUGUGCCACUGCACUCCAGCCUGGGCAACGGAGCAAGAUCCUGUCACAAAAAAAAAUUAUCACGUGGCCGAAGUUAUUUCCAGGCUCCGAGCGCCAGCUUCCUCAUCUUUCCAACAGAGGGCCUUCACCUGGGCUAAGUGUUAAAUCAGAAAGCCCCUAUUCAGAGGUUGGCCUGCAGUUCCCUGACCUGGUAACACUGGGGAGCAUUGGCUGCUGUCACCUGCCAGCUCCCACCCCCACCCAACACUUACACACCAAGCAUCACUAAUUUUUGCAGCUGCCAUGAUAAAUGGCACUGUUGGCAAAAUGACAUCUUUCUAAUCUGCCACAAGACAGACGGGUCCCCGAGCUCCCACAGCCUCCCAAGAGCCAGCCCAGGCCAUCCUUGUUGAGAGGAUGGGCAGAUGCAAAGCCCAGGGCCUGGGGGCGGGUGGGAUGGAGAGGAGACCUCAGGGCCCAGAAUCAAGGACAUCCCUAGUGGGGUUUACCACAGGCUCUUUUCUAAAUAUUUAGUUGUAUGUGUGCUUUUAAAAAUAUUCCAAAGAAUAUUAUAUGCUCUGUUCCUUUCUGACCAAAGUUAGGGCUUCAAUUCAAUUUUCUUUUCUUUUCUUUCUUUUUUUUAGACAGGGUCUUGCUGUAUCGCCCAAGCUGGAGUGCAGUGGCACAAUCACAGCUCACUGCAGCCUUGACCUCCUGGGCUCAAGCGAUCCCCCCACCUCAGCCACCUGAGUAGCUGGGUCUAUAGGCGCCAGCUACCAUGCCUGGCUAAUCUUUGUAUUUUAUUUUGUAGACACGGGGUCUCGCCAUGUUGUCCAGGCUGGUCUUGAACUCUUGACCUCAAAUGAUCUGCUUGCCUUGCUCUCCCAAAAUGCUGGGAUUUCAGGCUUGGGCCACUGCACCCAGCCUCAAUUUUCACUUUAAAUUAAAACCUGGAUAUUGUUCAGGUUUAUAAGGAUGAACCAUUAGACACUGGUUCUGAGGCGGUGCUCUCUUCCUGUCACCCUCUGCUCUGCGGAACAGUCUGCCUCUGCCUGAGCCAUUAGGUCUGGGGGCUUUCUCACCCCCCUCCUCCCUCCCACUCCCUCCAUGGCUCCCACCCUCCCACCCAGCCUCUUUGCUGACCUCAGCCGCAUCCCCUCCAUGCCUCACACUGGCCUGGGACUGCCAGGUUCCUGUGUCCAGGAGUAGAGGUGAAUUGGGGCUCUGGAUGCCAAGAACAGAGGAAGGACAAAUGCCAGCCCCAGAGACCCUCACCUCCUCAAGACCAACAGGAGCUGGCGCCUGUCCGCCCAGCAGCAGCAAAGCCAGAGCGGGUGCCAGCCAGGGUGGGUAGGCACAGGCCUGGGCUUGAAGAUUGAGACAGCGCUGCCCCCUCCUGGCUAAUUCACGGCUGCUCCUCUGACAGGCACUGCCAGGCUAAGCUGUUGAGGUUGGGGACAUAGUGAGUGACCCCAAAAACAGCAUGUGACAAGCUGACCUUCCCUGCAGUCUGCCCAGCUGGGAGCUGCCUCCCACUCUGCCCAUCCUGUCCGAGCUUCUCCCAAAGCAUCUUCCGGCCCUCACACCUUCAGGGCAAAGCCCGAGGCCCCUCCCGGCUGCCCACAAUGUGGCCCCGGGUAGCAGCCUCGCCCCCUGCACCCCAGGCCCCUGCUGCUCUGUGCCUCCCCAGUUCCCUGUCACUGCACCUGCAUGCUUUGCUCUCACCUUGACCUCCACCUUCGCCCUCCCCAGCAGUCUCCUCUUGUCCUCUUAGGUCCCUCCCCGAGGAAACUCCUCUCCCAACUCCCAACCAGAGGGACUCCGCUCCUCUGCCUGCACCCCGACCUGCCCUGCCCCUGUCUCGGGGACUGCACACUGUCAGCACAGUCCCACAGUUCUGGAACUUGGGAGAACCUAGACCUCUUCCAAGCCUACCCUGUGCACUGUCUAAAGGGCAAUCCUGAGCCCAGAGAGGGGCAGGAGCUGCACAAGGCCACACAGCCUGUAAUGGCAGUUAGGACUGGAAUGCAGCUCUCCCGAGUCUCUGCCUGGGGCUCCUUGGAGGACAGACACAUGGCUUCCCCACCUGGUGAACCAGAAUGGAACUCUUCAAGGACAGGGACUGUAUCAUUCCUUCCAGUGUCCCCAGCCCCUCACCCAGAGCAGGACCCACAGGAAGCAACUGUGAACAGAAAAGGAAAAAACAAAUACAUGAAAAUGUAUCUCUAAUGUCUUCUGUGUGCCGGACACUCAGCAGGUACCGGCUCUGCUACUAGAAAUCUUGGUCAAAUUGCUCAAUUUGGUGUAGAAAAAUAAUUUCUGGGGAUGAGGGGCAGUGAGUGCCCCAAGAGGGGCCUCAGUCACGAAUGUCGAUGACCAGUGGGCACAGGUGGAGUGAGUGCUUGAUGCCCAUGGUGAAAGCAGGGAUGUGGGGCUUGUGCACAGUGACCUGCUGGACCUCGUGGGAGCCGGGGCCAGGCCGUGGCGUGAGGUCCAGAGGGUAGGCGAAGCGCUUGGCCAUGCUGUAAGUAGGGCUGCGGUUCUGAUAGAUGGAUGGCUCAGGUCGGGCGUACGUGGUAGGUCCAGGGCCUCCUGCCACAUCCUCCUUGUAGAACCAGUUCUUGUCCCUGGAGGCCAGACUGUAGCAGGGAGCAGCUCGGCUGACAGGGGUGUUGGGCCCCAGCAAGAGUGGCAUCUGGUACUGGUUGGGAGCCGGGUUGAGGUCCAUCACUCUGUAUGGGCGCCGGUAGCCAAACGUGUACUGGGGAGCCCUGCGUUCCCCCGGUGGGUGGAUCUUCUCAAAGUAGUACUGGCAGGAUGCGAGGGUGGGGUUCAGGCCUGAAAGGGAGUGGCGGGAAGGGAGGGCUCUCAGAGCAGGGAACAGACCUCAUUCUCUGCUAGCCAACUGAUGGUCCUGGUUAUCCACUGUGACCUCAGGCUGACCACCUCAGCAGCAGGGCAGGGACAUCCAAAUGGUCACUUAGGCCGGACGCGGUGGCUCACACCUGCAAUCCCAGCACUUUGGGAGGCUAAGGCAGGCAGAUCACAAGAUCAGGAGUUCGAGACCAGCCUGACCAACAUGGUGAAACCCCAUCUCUACUAAAAAUACAAAAAUUAGCUGGGCGUGGUGGCGUGCACCUGUAAUCCCAGCUAUUCAGAAGGCUGAGGCAGGAGAAUCACUCCAACCCAGGAGGUGGAGGUUGCAGUGAGCCGAGAUCACGCCACUGCACUCCAGCCUGGGCAACAGAGCGAGACUCGAUCUAAAUAAAUAAAUAAUAAAUAAAUAAGAUGGUCACUUAGGCCAUCCUGACAUCAGGAUGGCAACACAGUGGUCAUCAUGUAAAAAACCAUAAUGUCAUCAUAACAUUCCCCUUGGAUUACCCCCAGUUGCUACAGUGUCAGCAUCCAGACAUUGUCCCUCUGACAGCGACACAGAAACAUUCUGAGAUCACUACAGUCUGUGAGCUCGUUCGCAUGACAAUAUUGCAUCCACAACAGGAGCUCCAUGUCAUCAUAACGUCACCUGGUGACAUGCUGCAUGUCAUAACAUUGACUUCAAGACAUGGUGAUGUCAGCAUUGCAAUGUCGGUGUCUUGCAGGGAGAUACCGGCAUCCAGACAUUUCCAAGGAGGAAGUCUUGACCCUUUGCCCCUGCCCAGGUCCUAAGGGUGCACCCCACCCCCCAACCUCCCAACCCCCAACAUCUGUCCAUAACCCCAUCUUACGCAGGUUGGAGAUGCGCUCCUCCAUGGGGACCUGCGGGCAGCUGGACAUUCCAAACCGAGUUAUUUUGGGAUCCAAGAGAUAGCAAGGCCCAGGGCUGCUGUGGCACACCAUCCCUGCAGGGCAACCAAGGAGAGGGCCUGGUCAGCCCCAAAGGCUGCCCCACUGAGCACCUGGCCUGCCUCCAGGCAAGAUCUCCCUCCCACUUCAGAUUCUGUGGCUCCUGGGUGUUUGGGGACCCUUGAUUUCCUCAUCUGUAAAAUGGGACUUUUAACACAUGACCUGGUAUUUUCAAGAACUUGCUCAGAGGAACAGUAAAAUAACAGCUGCCCAGCAGCUUGGGCAGCCACCCACCCAAUCAGGGGUUGGGGCCAACGGGGAGUAAUAGCCCUGUGGCUGCUGUGGGCAUUCAGCAAAGGCCCAGCCAGGCCAGGGGCUUACCUUGCUGAGGUGGGUAUUCUCCCCAGGGAAAGGCCUGACAGGCACCCCAGAUCUCAGACCCCCGGGUGCACGCCACCACACCCUGCCCAGCAGCAUAGGUCAUCUGUGGCCUCUGCUUCUGCCCUUCCAGUGGGUUCUAGGCCACCUGAGGAGCUCUGGGGGCCACCACUUCCCCACUGGCCUCCUAGCUGUUCCUGCCUGGCCACAAUGGCAAGUGACCCUAGCAGAGCAUGGCGACCGGAGCUGAAGGGCCCCAGCCAAAGGCCAGAAAAAGGAGACUCUGCUGUGCCAGCUGGACAGGGCCAGGAUCCCCUAUAGGCUCCCUUGGGAGAGGCGGCUAGGGGAUGCCCAUGGAGUUGCCCCACCCUCAAUCCCCGCUGGCUUCCUCUGGACCCAGGGGGCCCCUUGAGUGUCUCAGAUUCCCAGUGGCUACAGAGAAUGGCUCCAUGUCUCUCCCCUCAACCUCCAACAACAGCUCCAACCCCAGCCGGAUGACUGGGGUGGCAACGCUCACGCUUCUCUGAGUGCCGGCUAUGCAGGGUAUAAGCUGGUGCCUUGAACAUGGAGAUGUCAUGAUCUAUGUAGCCCGUGCAGGAUGGCCGGAGGUACUUGGCGGGCCCCGGACCUGUAAGGAUGGACAGGACAGCCCUCAGCCUGGGCCCACCAGGUCAGAGGCAGGGGAAGCCCCAGUACAGCGCACCAUGGGAACAUUGGGGGUAUUUGUUCUUGCUGCUAUCGCACUGCCACGAGCCCAGCAUCCAUCCAGCUGCUUCGUUUGGGGGAAGGCAGUAUUUCCAGAUAAAAUGCAGUUUCCCUUGGACAGACAAUGCAUAAUAAGAAGCUAAUAGUUACAGUUAAUUGAGAACUUAUUCUGCUCCAGGUUCUCCACUAGGCAUCCGACGUGGAUUAUUUCCGUUAAGCCUCUGAACAAUGCUGUAAGGUAAAUGCUCUUGUUUUUCCCAUUUUACAGAAUAUUGAGGCUUAGAAAUAUCUACCCACAUAUCACAAACUAGUAGUGUGAAGAUUCUAAGACCAUCAUCCAGUAGAACCCAAACCUUCAAUCCCUGCACUAAACUACUCCCACUUAGAGCACUAGUCAGUCAUUACCAACAUAGUAAGAAUUAGCGUCUGCUGUCCCUUGAGAGUAAAAUUGAAGGGAAGUGAGGAAAGCUAAAGCUAGGACAAAGGCUCCUAGUCUUUUUCCAAAGCGGGCCUCACUGCAAGUCCCAUGCUCCCCUCCUCCCCCACCCACUUGGACAAUCCCAGCAGCCAACACUGCCUGUGAGGGUCAGCUUGGAGGCUCAGGUCUUCUGUAAGGCUUCAAGGAAGUUGGAAGGGGCUUUGCAGGAGGCAGGCUGGAAGGAGUCCUGGAGAGAGGGGAGGGGGCCCAAGCCCAGGGUGGGGAUGGCUCU
rnacentral:lncRNA from 1 species